UCAUCUUGGCAGGGUGCAAUGUGGUGUUCGGGAGGGUCCAUUCGUGCCUUGAGCUCUGGUGUCCAAGUCCCCCUGACCGGGGCCAUCGCCCGUUGAGGGUGCAAGGCCUGUUGGGCAGGGCUGUGUCUCCGAUCUCGGCACGUUGGGUCCCUUCCUUGGAGUCGGGUUGCUUGAGAGUGCAGCCCAAAGUGGGUGGUAAACUCCACCUAAGGCUAAAUACUUUCCACGAGACCGAUAGCAAACAAGUACCGUGAGGGAAAGUUGCAAAGAACUUUGAAGAGAGAGUUCAAGAGUGCGUGAAACCGUUCGGAGGUAAACGGGUGGGAGCGCGAAGGUCGAACGGACGGGGAGGGAUUCAACUUGGCGUGGUGGCUGGCCCGGCUGGUUCGCGUCUGGGCGUGCCGUCCUCCCUUUGCGGGGAGGUCUCGGUCGUCCCGCGUUCUGCCGCUGGCCGUAGUCCGCCGUGCCUUGUGCAUUUCCCUAUUCCCCCUCUCCUAGUAGGACGCCGCGACCGGCUGUCGAGGGGAGCCCAGGAGCUGGUUGGAGCAGUUGCGCGGACGAGUAAGGGAUUCGUUCUCUGCGUCCGGUCUGUCUGUCUCCUUCCGCCCGCGGGUCGCUCCCUCCGGCCGAGGAACUGUGCGAGCUGGGCCCUUGUGGUCCCUCGUCCAUGUGCGUGCCCACGAUCUGUCGGUGCGGGUCGAAAGAACCCAACGGGUGGCGGCGGGUGGCCGCGCGCCAGUCUCAGGACUGCGCGUGCGGACUCCGCGCGUCAGCCGCCGUCGGUCAGGGUGCGGACUCCCGCAGUUGGGCGCUGGGGGUCGGCGGCGAGUAGGUCGGUUUCCCACCCGACCCGUCUUGAAACACGGACCAAGAAGUCUAACGUGUGGGCGAGUCUUCGGGGACAUUUUGAACCCUUAGAAGGCGAAAUAAAAGUGAAGGCUGAGUCGUUCCCCCGCUUGUGUGGCGCGCUUCGGUGCAAGACCUCGUGGGGUGAGCGGCUCGCCCGAGUGGGAUCCCCCGUCUGAUGGCGGGGGCGCACCACU
rnacentral:rRNA from 1 species